rnacentral:rRNA from 1 species
UACGUAGGGUGCGAGCGUUAAUCGGAAUUACUGGGCGUAAAGCGUGCGCAGGCGGUUCUCCAAGUCCGUUGUGAAAGCCCCGGGCUCAACCUGGGAAUGGCAGUGGAAACUAGGGGACUGGAAUCUGGCAGAGGGGGGUGGAAUGCCGCGUGUAGCAGUGAAAUGCGUAGAGAUCAUGAGGAAGACCAGUGGCGAAGGCGGGUCUCUGGACAGUUCCUGACACUGAGGCACGAAGGCCAGGGGAGCGAACGGG